AGACUGCAAAAGUUAACAGCUUCCCCGGGGGCGAUGUUCAUGUAGCUUUCUAUGUAUUGGAUUCUGGUAUCCUGUCAGGAUGACUCUGGUGAAGUUAUAGCAAUUAAUAUCCUCACCAACUGAAGUUUUGAUUUCGGGAAACUUGUGAAUCUUCCGAAAAUGGCACUUGCUUCUACCGAAAAAGUGAUUCUCGGGUCCAUUGCCUUUUCGAUAUUCUGGGUAUUGGCCGUUUUCCCGUCCGUGCCAUUCCUACCUGUAGGAAGAACAGCAGGGUCGCUCCUUGGAGCGAUGCUUAUGGUGAUUUUCCGGGUCAUAACACCCGAUCAAGCUUACGCUGCGAUUGACCUCCCAAUCCUUGGACUUCUCUUUGGGACGAUGGUGGUUAGCGUCUAUCUGGAAAAGGCCGAUAUGUUCAAGCAUCUGGGUAAGUUGCUCUCCUGGAAAAGCAAAGGAGCACAUGACUUGCUUCUUCGGAUUUGCUUGAUCUCUGCCAUUUCAAGUGCUCUCUUCACAAAUGAUACGUCUUGUAUCGUUCUGACUGAGUUCGUGCUCAAAAUUGCUAGGCAACACAAUCUCCCGCCGCAUCCAUUUUUACUUGCCCUCGCCUCGAGUGCCAAUAUUGGGUCUUCGGCGACUCCCAUUGGGAAUCCUCAAAAUUUAGUUAUAGCUGUUCAGAGUAAGAUCUCAUUUGGGAGUUUUAUUGUCGGAAUUCUUCCUGCAAUGGUGAUCGGGAUUCUUGUCAAUGCACUGAUUCUUCUAUGCAUGUACUGGAAGCUACUGUCCAUCCAAAAGGACAAAGAAGAUGCAGCUUCUGAAGGAGUGGACGAGGAAGACAUGAGUUCUCAUCGGUUUUCGCCCGCCACAAUGUCGCACUGCACAUCCCCAAACUUGCAAGAAUGGAACUCUAGGUUCGAGCCAAUGGACAUACAGAGCCCUCCUGCAACCAUGAAUGGGGAUGCAAAUCAUGUCGAGUCACUUAGAAACAGGUUGACCUCGAAUGAGAAUGAAAUUCGCCAGGUCUUGAGCAGUGCUCCUGCCUCUGCAAGAAACUCAACUGCAUCGAAAGAGACGCUUCAUGACGGUGCUUCUCAGAAAAAGCAUGAAACGGUUCCUUCCAAGGAAGUUGUAUCUGUCAACGGGUUGAAUGAUGUGUUUCCAGGGACGUAUUCAGAGGGGAAGGAAACACCUGCCUCUAGAUAUAAGACGAUUUUGUGGAAAUCCCGUGUUUACCUGGUCACCAUCGGUAUGCUGAUCUCUUUGUUGAUGGGUCUGAAUAUGUCUUGGACAGCUAUUACCGCUGCCCUGGCCCUCGUAGUUCUUGACUUUAAAGAUGCUCGGCCUUGCCUAGAGAAGGUCUCCUACUCUCUGUUGAUAUUCUUUUGCGGAAUGUUCAUCACGGUCAACGGAUUCAACAGAACUGGAAUUCCGAGCACUCUCUGGGACUGGAUGGAGCCACAUGCCAAAGUCAAUCAUGCUAGCGGGAUAGCUGUUCUUGCUGUUGUCAUUUUGGUGUUGUCGAAUGUCGCUUCGAAUGUGCCAACUGGGGUUGUCUACUCCGCCGAUAAGAAACUUCAAAUCAAACAGUUUAUAGCUGACCGAAAUAUCUUUGGAGGCUUUGAAGUUUUACCAAUUGCAAAACAUGGAUGCAUUGCCUAAUCUCUUACAUGUUUUUAACUAUUAUUGGUUUGAUGUUCAUCGCUCGAACCUAUUUGUCAUCACCAUCCUGUUUAAGUAAGACAGAAGAAUUCUUCAUACUCGAUGCGACAUUUCGCUGAUUGAUCCUUUGCCCUGCAAACAACACCAUAAGUUCUCUUGCUCGGAGGCCAGGUGGCUGUGUCGGCAGCUGCUAUUUCAGCCGCGGAAGAGAAGAAGUCAUGGCUCAUAUUAGCUUGGGUGAGCACCGUCGCAGGGAAUCUCUCGCUGCUCGGAUCAGCGGCCAACUUGAU